UACGUAGGGUGCGAGCGUUAAUCGGAAUGACUGGGCGUAAAGGGUGCGCAGGCGGUUUGUCAAGACGGAUGUGAAAGCCCCGGGCUUAACCUGGGAAAGGCAUACGUGACUGGCGGGCUAGAAUAUGGCAGAGGGAGGUGGAAUUCCACAUGUAGCAGUGAAAUGCGUAGAGAUGUGGAGGAACACCAAUGGCGAAGGCAUCCUCCUGGGCCAAUAUUGACGCUGAGGAGCGAAAGCGUGGGGAGCAAACAGG
rnacentral:rRNA from 1 species